rnacentral:SRP_RNA from 1 species
UGCCGGGAACCGCGCGGCGGGUGGCGGUGAACCUCCCCAGGGUCGGAAGGCAGCAAGGAUAAGUCGAUUCUCCGUGCGACGCGAUCUUCCCGGCAUUC